UCUCACUAACAAAACCCCUCUUUUCCUCCCAACUCUCUCUCUCUCUCUCUCUCUCUUAGUACCAAUUCAACCACCUUCUUCCACCACCACAACCAAAUUCACCACCAUAACAACCAAAUCCGGCCAAAAAGAAGCACACACCAUUUCACAGAUAUGAAAACGGUAACCGCCACUUUCAUCAGGUAGGAAAUGCUAGCAACAAUAGUGGAUUCUGUGAUUUUUCAAGACGGUGGCAAGUAGCAUGGGUGGUGGUGGCGGUUGGUGGUGAUGAUGGUGGUGGCGGUAGUGAGAGAGAGGAAGAAAGAGAGACAAAGGGAUUUGUUAUAUAUUCAUACAAAAUAUACGUAUAUACUAUAUUAGGGGGUGUUUGGCCUAGCUUUUAUUUUUUUGGCUUAUGCUUAUAUUUUUAAGUAGCUUAUGCUUAUUUUCUUUCAUUUGAUAAGCUAUUUUGAAGUGUUUGGAUUAGCUUAUAUUCUACAAGUUGAUAAUCAAUAAUUAAUCUUUAGUUGUUUGUUAA